UACAUUUGGGCGACAGCAUCGGGGUCACUU
rnacentral:piRNA from 1 species